UUAUUAAUAAAUGGAAUGCAAAACGCGAC
rnacentral:sRNA from 1 species